AGAGCCGAUACUAGUCCGCACCUCGGCGCCUUUCCCGGGCGGUGUCGCCUGCUCAGGACUCCUUCUGCUUGCAUGGCCGAGUCUGUAGCCUCGCGUCUGCGGUACACUCAGAACGCAGCCGCUGUGCUGCGGGAAGAGGAGGAGGCGACGCACGGCGUACCCCCCUCCGUUUCGGGAGGGAUGGUUGGCCCCGCGGCAGGCAGCGCGGCGGCCGCGGGCUCUGAGGGAGCGGCGGUGUGAGGUUGUGUUUAUUGGCGCUGCUUGUCUUCCAAAUCGGGCACUUACCUCUAAUGAAAGCAAUGGAAGUUGGGUCAGUGGCCGGAGCAUGCACCAACAUGACCAAAAGAUGUCCCAAGAACAUGGUUUCUAGUGUGUUUUGCUGGAAGUUCAGGAUCUCCCAGAGAUAGCCCUGAGUGCUGAAAGCCUCGAGUGUGAGAAGGGCAUUUGGGAAGAAGCCGCCAAGUGCUGAUUGCACAACUGCGUGUGAUACUGUGGAGCAGCUCAGAACACAAGGAUUGAAAAUGUUAAAAAGACUGGCAAUAUAUGAAAGAAAGCUUGGAAUCUCAUACUGCUUCACUGUAAAGUCUUGGAAAAGCCAACACUACUGAAAAACUGAGUAGCGCAAGUCAGCCUAAAUUUCAUUACUACAAAGAAGGUAUUAAUUAAAAUUGCAUGCACUAUCAAGUCUUUCUUUUGUGUAACCCACAUACCCAGGGGUGUGACACAUAAUCCAAGUCUCUGAAAUACUUGGAAAUCUGGUGUAAAUGAUCCUGUACUACAUCACUGUAGAUUUUGUUUGGGUUGGAUUUUUUUUCAGGAUAAAAUAUAACGAAUCUUCAGUGAAGUGAUGAAGCUCCUCCAGGUUGGCCAUAAUGCUCUUGAAAGUAAUAAAAUCAGAAAGUUUCAUCACCGAAAUGUGGGAAUCUGCUUGGGCAACACAGAUGCACUGAAUCCUUUACUACUGCUGCUGGUAGGAAAUGAGCCUGUGGAAUCCAUCCACGCCCAGGCACUGAGGACUUUUGCAGGGCUGAAGAUAAGGUGGGCACUCUGUGUAUGAAUCUCUCUCUGGGAAGAGAAAAGUUUGUAUAAUCCAUUAUUAGUAAUGUGUCCAGUAACAGGGCUGCUGCUUGUUUUCCAGCAUAAAAUUAUUAAAUCUUGUAUUAUUGGCUUACUGCUCCCAGAGUGCUUUCUAAUGCACAGUCAUAUGCAUGAGUUAGAACUGCAGAAAUUUCUGUGGAUUCCCACUAGCCAGAAAGUGUUAAUACUGCCACCAGCUUGUAGUUACCACCUGAACCCCUGCUUAGGCAAAAGGACUCUCUACAGGCAGGCUUCCUAAAAAUUAGAUUUGCAAGUUUUACAUUUUUGCCCAAGGGAUGAGGGGAAGCUCAUCUUUGUAGUUUUGUAUUAGUGUUGGGCAUUUAGAGGAUGUUAGAAAAGAGCUGUGUGCUACAUGUGUCCAGUCUCACACUGUGUGUUUAUUUUUUUCCUUAGGAAGAAUUGUUAGAACCAGCCUGAGAGCAAUGCCUAAAAGAUGGACUACUAAGCCUCUGUGUCGUAAGACAAAGUGCAUUUAACUGCAUUGUGGCAGUGUCUGGUAAUGUUUGUAUGAACAAAAAAAUAAAGAUUUAUGUUUCUGUUCUCAGAAUUUCUGUCUUUUCCAAGCUUUAGUAACAAUUGCUUUUGUUUCAGAGUUCAGACUUCUUUGUGUUAUUGGUGGGAAACCAGUGCACCUCUUUGGAUGAAACAAAGCCUAGGAGUGAGUUGGGAUGUGAUGACUUAAACCAUGGUCUCCUGUAGUAUUUGGACAUAGGGUUGCCUGAGAUUUGUAUUGUGGUGAGCAAAAGUAGAAAUUUCAAAACUAGAAAUUCAGCAAACCUGGGUUUAAAAAUAGCAGGAAAGGUGUUUAUCCAGCAUGGAGAAUGGCAAGUUUGGUUUAUCAUCACCUUGACUAGCUACAUCAUGUGGUGCUUCAGCAUAACUUGCAAUGAAAUACUCUUGAGAUAACUGGGAUUGCUGCUAAUUUUUCUAGGAAGACUUAACAUGGUUUAUCAGAAGAACAAAUGCUUCAAUUGUGUAUCUUGCACUGUGUGAUUUUUCAGUACUGAAUGUAAGCAUGUUACUAGUUCUAAGUGUAAA